CCCUCAUCGACAACUCGUUGAGCAAGAGGUCGCAGGUGGUGCAGAUCGAGCCGACCGACAAGGCAUUCAAGACGUCGGGUUGCCAGCCGUGGCAACUGACCCCCGACGCCGCUCUGCCCCCCAGCACGCCGCCCGCGGGUGCGCAAACCACCCUGGGCAUCCUCAACGGGCUGCUGGGCGGCAACGGGCC
rnacentral:ncRNA from 1 species